GUGCCCGCCUCAAAAAUGGCCGCCCCGACUGGCAACAGGUUCAUCGGUCACGCGGCCACGGUCUACCUCGGCGUGGUCAGGUCGCGUUAAGAGGACUUGGGACGGGGACGCUAUCAAGGCAAUCUUCGAGGAUGGGUUGAACAGCUUCCAAACCCCUCUGCAGAAGAGCACCAGCCGCCUGGAAGCCACAGCCCGGGGAAAAUCGAACACGUGGCAACACUAGCACAGUAUGGUCAAGACAGUUACUUGGUGGCCUUCUUGUGAGGAUCAGUAAGAAAAGUUUCGAUGGCCUUUCAGAAGCUCAUUAGUCUGAUGUAGUCCCAUUUGUUUAUUUUUUCUUUUGUUUCCCAUGCCUGAGGACACAUGUAUUCAAAAAGAUGCUGCUAAG